UACGGGGGGGGGCAAGCGUUGUUCGGAAUUACUGGGCGUAAAGGGCUCGUAGGCGGCCAACUAAGUCAGACGUGAAAUCCCUCGGCUUAACCGGGGAACUGCGUCUGAUACUGGAUGGCUUGAGUUUGGGAGAGGGAUGCGGAAUUCCAGGUGUAGCGGUGAAAUGCGUAGAUAUCUGGAGGAACACCGGUGGCGAAGGCGGCAUCCUGGACCAACACUGACGCUGAGUGAGCGAAAGCCAGGGAGCAAACGGGG
rnacentral:rRNA from 1 species